rnacentral:rRNA from 1 species
UACAGAGGUCUCAAGCGUUUGUUCGGAUUCAUUGGGCGUAAAGGGUGCGUAGGUGGCGUCGUAAGUCGGGUGUGAAAUUUCGGAGCUUAACUCCGAAACUGCAUUCGAUACUGCGGUGCUUGAGGACUGGAGAGGAGACUGGAAUUUACGGUGUAGCAGUGAAAUGCGUAGAGAUCGUAAGGAAGACCAGUGGCGAAGGCGGGUCUCUGGACAGUUCCUGACACUGAGGCAACGAAGGCCAGGGGAGCAAACGGG